rnacentral:rRNA from 1 species
AGUUCGGAUUGAAGGCUGAAAUUCGCCUUCAUGAAGCCGGAAUUGCUAGUAAUGGCAGGUCAGCAUACUGCCGUGAAUACGUUCCCGGGCCUUGUACACACCGCCCGUCACACCAUGGGAGCCGGUAAUACCCGAAGACAGUAGUCCAACCUCGUGAGGACGCUGCCGAAGGUAGGAUUGGCGACUGGGGUGAAGUCGUAACAAGGUAUC